AUUGAACGCUGGCGGCAUGCCUUACACAUGCAAGUCGAACGGCAGCACGGGUGCUUGCACCUGGUGGCGAGUGGCGAACGGGUGAGUAAUACAUCGGAACAUGUCCUGUAGUGGGGGAUAGCCCGGCGAAAGCCGGAUUAAUACCGCAUACGAUCUACGGAUGAAAGCGGGGGACCUUCGGGCCUCGCGCUAUAGGGUUGGCCGAGGGCUGAUUAGCUAGUUGGUGGGGUAAAGGCGUACCAAGGCGACGAUCAGCAGCUGGUCUGAGAGGACGACCAGCGAAACUGGGACUGGGACACGGACCAGACUCCUACGGGAGGCAGCAGUGGGGGAUUUUGGACAAUGGGCGAAAGCCUGAUUCAGCAAUGCCGCGUGUGUGAAGAAGGCCUUCGGGUUGUAAAGCACUUUUGUCCGGAAAGAAAUCCUUGGCUCUAAUACAGUCGGGGGAUGACGGUACCGGAAGAAUAAGCACCGGCUAACUACGUGCCAGCCGCCGCGGUAA
rnacentral:rRNA from 1 species